rnacentral:rRNA from 1 species
GACGAACGCUGGCGGCGUGCUUAACACAUGCAAGUCGAACGGAAAGGCCCUGCUUUUGUGGGGUGCUCGAGUGGCGAACGGGUGAGUAACACGUGAGUAACCUGCCCUUGACUUUGGGAUAACUUCAGGAAACUGGGGCUAAUACCGGAUAGGAGCUCCUGCUGCAUGGUGGGGGUUGGAAAGUUUCGGCGGUUGGGGAUGGACUCGCGGCUUAUCAGCUUGUUGGUGGGGUAGUGGCUUACCAAGGCUUUGACGGGUAGCCGGCCUGAGAGGGUGACCGGCCACAUUGGGCCUGCGAUACGGCCCAGACUCCUACGGGAGGCAGCAGUGGGGAAUAUUGCACAAUGGGCGGAAGCCUGAUGCAGCAACGCCGCGUGCGGGAUGACGGCCUUCGGGUUGUAAACCGAUUUCGCCUGUGACGAAGCGUGAGUGACGGUAAUGGGUAAAGAAGCACCGGCUAACUACGUG